GAUGAACGCUGGCGGCGUGCUUAACACAUGCAAGUCGAACGAAGCACUUUAUUUGAUUUCCUUCGGGACUGAUUAUUUUGUGACUGAGUGGCGGACGGGUGAGUAACGCGUGGGUAACCUGCCUUGUACAGGGGGAUAACAGUUGGAAACGGCUGCUAAUACCGCAUAAGCGCACGGCAUCGCAUGAUGCAGUGUGAAAAACUCCGGUGGUAUAAGAUGGACCCGCGUUGGAUUAGCUAGUUGGUGAGGUAACGGCCCACCAAGGCGACGAUCCAUAGCCGACCUGAGAGGGUGACCGGCCACAUUGGGACUGAGACACGGCCCAAACUCCUACGGGAGGCAGCAGUGGGGAAUAUUGCACAAUGGGUGAAAGCCUGAUGCAGCGACGCCGCGUGAGCGAAGAAGUAUUUCGGUAUGUAAAGCUCUAUCAGCAGGGAAGAUAAUGACGGUACCUGACUAAGAAGCACCGGCUAAAUACGUG
rnacentral:rRNA from 1 species